UACGAGGGGGGCGAGCGUUGUUCGGAAUUAUUGGGCGUAAAGGGUGCGUAGGCGGUUCCGCAAGUCCUGUGUGAAAUCUUCGGGCUCAACUCGAAGUCUGCACGGGAAACUGCGGGGCUUGAGUGUGGGAGAGGUGAGUGGAAUUCCCGGUGUAGCGGUGAAAUGCGUAGAUAUCGGAAGGAACGCCGGUGGCGAAAGCGACGUGCUGGACCCCUUCUGACGCUGAGGCGCGAAAGCCAGGGGAGCAAACGGG
rnacentral:rRNA from 1 species